UUCAAAAUUCCUGAUUUAAAAAGGAAGAAGGAAAAAGCCCUGCCCAGUGACUGUACUAAUCGGGCAGCAGGUGAGAUACAGUUGUGGCUCAAGUGUUUAAAAGAACUAAGUGUACUUGUCCACAAACAUUUUUCUUACUGCCAGGAUUCAGUCGCUUUAACGCUCUCAAAAGCUCAUAAAUUACUUAAAAGUGUGUGUUCUGCACUUUUCCCCCAGAAAUCUCUGUGGACGGCCAUGUAAAUGGUGUGCAGCGUUGAUGAAUUACACCUUUCUUCCUGAUGCAAGGCUGAUUUUCCUUUUAUUAAAUGGUCAUGUGCCAAGACAAUCCGUGGCCUGACGGUCAAUUAAAUUUCAAAGGACUUCAAAGGCCAAGCUUAGCGAGUUCCCUUUCUUUCUGAUGCCUUAAUAGCAACAGCCUCAAAUUCCUUGGGGGGAAAAAAUUAAAAUGCAGUUCAUCUGAAGUCGGCGUUGGAUAAUUAUAAAAUAUUGUUUUGCAAUUUCUUUUAAGAAGUGAACUUCAUUUUAAGGAGCAGAUGUGACAGUCACUGGAGGGGUGGGACAAUGGGAGGUUAACAAUGGCUUUGCUAACAUGUCAAGAAGGCAACGACUUCGUGUGCUACGGAAGAUAUUUUAAUUCGGCUCCAUUGUUUCGGAGGCAGAUUUGCAUAUCUCAGAGGGGGAAGCUCCACCCGCGAGGCCCACGGCUCGGGCAUAAAUCUUACAGUUCAUGUGACCGACCACUGUAAACAAACGGCUUGUGGGGCUCCGACCUGGGAAGUCACUCAGGAUGGGGUGGGAACUGGGAUUUUCCACUGCCCAUCACCAUCACACUCUACACCGCCCUUCAGUCUCCUGCAGGGAAAAGUACCCAGAUUUCCUAUCAGGAUCCAAACAAACCCACGGAGGAGGAUCUCCAGCUACUGCUGUCCACACCGCAGUGAAGGCAUGGCGCCUUGGCCCCCCAGAUCUGUGGUCCUUAGAGGGACAGCUCGAAAUCAAAAAGUACCUGGAAACCAUGGUUUGCAAGUUGAAAUCUGGAGAUUCCUCCUGCGAGAUUAUAGAGAGCAGUUUUGACAUCACGGAACACUGAAAUUUAUAAAUGAGGUGAUUUGGUUGCCUGACAUCUACUGGAGACUAACCAUGUGUCCCAGAAAGACGAUGAACUUGAGGGAGGAGGAGUUGAGAUGGCAAGAGGGUGAAAGAGUUCCUGUUGACUUUGGGCAGUAACACUGAUAUUCCGGCCUCUCGACAGUGUAACUUGAGAAAUGCUGCUGAGCAGGGUGAGGAAGCCCAUGGAGCCUGUCUGGAGUGCCUCCAGUCCCCAUGUUCCCUUGGGCUGCAGCGGAAAUAUUCUAGGCAUGAGGUACCUGUGGACUCGAAUUCCACACUAGUGACAGUGAGCGACACAUAUGGAGCUGGGGGAAGAUAUCUCAGCAAUCAAGCAGUUGACGCCUCUGUAGUUCUCAGGACCUAAGUCCGGUGAACCACAACUCAGUUGUGGGGGAACCCAACUCUUCCUGUAGGCACCUGAACUCACGCCUGUGUGACUGCACACGUGCACAGCACCAAAGAAAAUGUUCCUUCUUCGUGGUCAUGAGACUAAGUAUUUGGAAUCAUAACAUUUAUGAUGUAGCACUGAACCAUGAUUUUGCGACACCUAGAGCAGCCAUGUGGGUCAACCCUCAGCAGACUAUGGCUUGAAGGAGUUGUCAGUCAUAACUGUCUACAGGCAACCAUGCAUGAGGCAUCUCUCUAUCAUGGGACACUGCUGCAUUGAUCUCCCACCAGAAAACUAAGAGAAACCACCAGCGGCUAAUGGCACUCCAGAGAUAGUUUAAGUUGCUUCUGCAAGACAUCUUGUCAUGUGGUGAUCUACUCAUCUAAGAGGAUGAGGAACUUUUGGAGCGCCGUGGUGACCUUGAAGGUGACAAUGACACCAUCCAUUCCUAGAACAUUGUGACAGCUGCCACCUGAACGGGUAAAAGUGGUACAUGGGGAUCUACCCCCCCCAGAUGGCAGGACGCUCACAGAAGGGUCAGAUGGUGCAGGUAAACACUCCCACUCAUGAGUAUUUUUCUAUUAAGGGAGGUUGCUCUAUGCCUAGCUAGGUUUGCCCCAUGUUGCUCUUUGCUUUCUGCUUGGGAGUAGCUUUCCCCUGUGCUUUCCUCUCCUUCGUAGUCACCCUCUUCUGAUAUGCUCAUUAGUAAACCCAGAGCUGCUUUUACUAGUACAGAAUAGCACUAGCCUGCAGCAACACAUCUCAGGGUAGAGAGUUCGGCUCUCUUGUCACAUCUCUGUAUUCAGACUCUUACAGACAUGACCGGCAACAACACCUUGGUAACCUUAUUCACCUGUCCACCUGUUCCGAUUGUAAUCUACCAGAGAGCAGAAGCCUGCAGGGGCCUUUGUCUUGUGUGUUUCUGCGGUCGCAUCCUGCUUCCUUAGGAGAGGAGCGGGGAAGAUACUGUUUCAAUUCAGGAGAACUAAGUGGUAAACUUUUUCUGUCUGUGACGAUACUGUUUCAAUUCAGGAGAGCUAAGUGGUAAAACUUUUUCUGUCUAUUUUUGUUUCAUUUCAAGUUGGGGUUUUCCUCCAAUGCUCUGUCCCUCCUGUCCUGUUUUAGACAAGCUGAUCUCAGAAACUGGGUAAUUGCACACAGUCAGCACAACCCGGCAAAGAUGUAUUGUCCACCAAACCUGCCAGUUGUAAUCAUUAAAAUCACGGCAGACUUCAUAAAAGGCUAUGUAGCUACUCCUGAUGUUGAACCAAUUUCUUUCUCUGUUGCUGUGAUAAUAAAAUACUUCGACAAAAGUGA
rnacentral:sRNA from 1 species